AGUGAACGCUGGCGGCGUGCUUAACACAUGCAAGUCGAACGAGAACGGGUUAUAGCUUGCUAUAAUUGUCAGCUAAGUGGCGCACGGGUGAGUAAUGUAUAGGUAAUAUGCCUCUUACUAAGGGAUAACAAAUGGAAACGUUUGCUAAUACCUUAUACUCCUUAUUAACAUAAGUUAAUAAGGGAAAGAUUUAUUGGUAAGAGAUUAGCCUGUAUUGUAUCAGUUAGUUGGUGGGGUAAUGGCUUACCAAGACUAUGACACAUAACUGGUUUGAGAGGAUGAUCAGUCACACUAGAACUGAGACACGGUCCAGACUCCUACGGGAGGCAGCAGUGGGGAAUAUUGCACAAUGGACGAAAGUCUGAUGCAGCAACGCCGCGUGGAGGAUGACACAUUUCGGUGCGUAAACUCCUUUUAUAUGUGAAGAUAAUGACGGUAUUAUAUGAAUAAGCACCGGCUAACUCCGUGCCAGCCGCCGCCGUAA
rnacentral:rRNA from 1 species